rnacentral:rRNA from 1 species
GUUGACCUCGGAUCAGGUAGGGAUACCCGCUGAACUUAAGCAUAUCAAUAAGCGGAGGAAAAGAAACCAACAGGGAUUGCUCUAGUAACGGCGAGUGAAGCAGCAAUAGCUCAAAUUUGAAAUCUGGCGUCUUCGACGU